rnacentral:rRNA from 1 species
UAGGGGAUAUUGGUGAAUGGGCGAAAGCCUGAACCAGCAACGCCGCGUGUGCGAUGACGGCCUUCGGGUUGUAAAGCACUUUUUGCCGGGAAGAGGAAGGACGGUACCGGUAGAAUCAGCCUCGGCUAACUACGUGCCAGCAGCCGCGGUAAAACGUAGGAGGCGAGCGUUAUCCGGAUUUACUGGGUGUAAAGCGCGUGCAGGCGGUUUGAUAAGUUGGGUGUGAAAGCUCCUGGCUCAACUGGGAGAGGUCGCUCAAGACUGUCAGACUAGAGGAUGGUAGGGGAAGGCGGAAUUCCGGGUGUAGUGGUGAAAUGCGUAGAUAUCCGGAGGAACACCAGUGGCGAAAGCGGCCUUCUGGACCAUGACUGACGCUCAGACGCGAAAGCUAGGGGAGCAA